rnacentral:rRNA from 2 species
GACGAACGCUGGCGGCGUGCCUAAUACAUGCAAGUCGAACGAACUCUGGUAUUGAUUGGUGCUUGCAUCAUGAUUUACAUUUGAGUGAGUGGCGAACUGGUGAGUAACACGUGGGAAACCUGCCCAGAAGCGGGGGAUAACACCUGGAAACAGAUGCUAAUACCGCAUAACAACUUGGACCGCAUGGUCCGAGUUUGAAAGAUGGCUUCGGCUAUCACUCUUGGAUGGUCCCGCGGCGUAUUAGCUAGAUGGUGGGGUAACGGCUCACCAUGGCAAUGAUACGUAGCCGACCUGAGAGGGUAAUCGGCCACAUUGGGACUGAGACACGGCCCAAACUCCUACGGGAGGCAGCAGUAGGGAAUCUUCCACAAUGGACGAAAGUCUGAUGGAGCAACGCCGCGUGAGUGAAGAAGGGUUUCGGCUCGUAAAACUCUGUUGUUAAAGAAGAACAUAUCUGAGAGUAACUGUUCAGGUAUUGACGGUAUUUAACCAGAAAGCCACGGCUAACUACGUGCCAGCAGCCGCGGUAAUACGUAGGUGGCAAGCGUUGUCCGGAUUUAUUGGGCGUAAAGCGAGCGCAGGCGGUUUUUUAAGUCUGAUGUGAAAGCCUUCGGCUCAACCGAAGAAGUGCAUCGGAAACUGGGAAACUUGAGUGCAGAAGAGGACAGUGGAACUCCAUGUGUAGCGGUGAAAUGCGUAGAUAUAUGGAAGAACACCAGUGGCGAAGGCGGCUGUCUGGUCUGUAACUGACGCUGAGGCUCGAAAGUAUGGGUAGCAAACAGGAUUAGAUACCCUGGUAGUCCAUACCGUAAACGAUGAAUGCUAAGUGUUGGAGGGUUUCCGCCCUUCAGUGCUGCAGCUAACGCAUUAAGCAUUCCGCCUGGGGAGUACGGCCGCAAGGCUGAAACUCAAAGGAAUUGACGGGGGCCCGCACAAGCGGUGGAGCAUGUGGUUUAAUUCGAAGCUACGCGAAGAACCUUACCAGGUCUUGACAUACUAUGCAAAUCUAAGAGAUUAGACGUUCCCUUCGGGGACAUGGAUACAGGUGGUGCAUGGUUGUCGUCAGCUCGUGUCGUGAGAUGUUGGGUUAAGUCCCGCAACGAGCGCAACCCUUAUUAUCAGUUGCCAGCAUUAAGUUGGGCACUCUGGUGAGACUGCCGGUGACAAACCGGAGGAAGGUGGGGAUGACGUCAAAUCAUCAUGCCCCUUAUGACCUGGGCUACACACGUGCUACAAUGGAUGGUACAACGAGUUGCGAACUCGCGAGAGUAAGCUAAUCUCUUAAAGCCAUUCUCAGUUCGGAUUGUAGGCUGCAACUCGCCUACAUGAAGUCGGAAUCGCUAGUAAUCGCGGAUCAGCAUGCCGCGGUGAAUACGUUCCCGGGCCUUGUACACACCGCCCGUCACACCAUGAGAGUUUGUAACACCCAAAGUCGGUGGGGUAACCUUUUAGGAACCAGCCGCCUAAGGUGGGACAGAUGAUUAGGGUG